CAACACAGAACGGCCAAAGUGCAAGAAACGCAACAAAAGAUGAAGAACAACUAAGAUGGAAGAGAACAAUGACAACACAGCUGAUGGAGGCGAAGGAGAAUCUAAAACUAAAUGUUGUUCAUGGUGUUCAUGGUGUUCACGGUGUCCAUGGUGUUCAUGGUGUUCAUGGUGUCCAUGCUGUGUAUGCUGCUGUACCCCAAGAUACUCUGCAGUCAAAACUGAGGAAAGUAUAACCAUCACCAAGUCGGAUUUUCAUGAAGCUCAGCUCUCAGAAAAGACCACAGGAGUGGAAACUGAAACUGCAACAAAUG